GGCUACCUGGCGCAAUGGUAGCGCGUUUGGCUUCGAUCGCCAUACGGUUACCCGACACCAAAAGGUUGCAGGUUCGAGUCCUGCGGUGGUCA
rnacentral:tRNA from 1 species